GAAGCGGAGGCGGGCGCCUCGCGGCCCACUCGGCCACCGCGGUGAGGCCUCCGAAGCUGGGUUCCCAGGGCUAACCCUUAGUCCCUAAUGUCCUUAUGACCAUGGUCACGGGCUGCCUCUGAGCCCCACUGGAACUGAAAGGGAUGACCUGUGAUCUGCAACCACCAGUAAGAACAAACUACAGAGUACAGUUGUGCGCUAACUUCAACAGCAUGUCUGUUUUGCUGCAGCACAUGGACAUUUAUGAGAAGUUAAGUCCAGAGUUGAUUUGCAAAGUCCCAUUUUGAUAACUCUGCCUCCCUUGCCACAGAAGUGGCCGUGGAACUUGCACCUGAUUAAUUUGAGCAACAGUGAUUAGUGAAUUGACAAGUGAUAUAAGCAGAGAUGGAAUCCCUUUCUGGCUUUGAUACUAUGUAUGUUCAGGAUACUAUAUUUUUGGGGUUGCUAAGUAGAAUCUGCUGGCAAGUAUGUUCUGUGCCACAUAAAGGAGGCAUAUCUGCAGAGCAGGAGAAACUGAUAUUAAUAUGUCAAGAGAAGUAGAGACAAGCAGAAAUGAGCAGCAGAAAGAGUAUGUUCUGGGAAUGUUGAGUUCCCAGAUCCAAUUCUUUCUAUAGGCAUUACUUUCUGUAGCCAUUUCUUCAUUUCUAUGAGUUAUUUCAGUAUCUUCCUAGAAACAUGGACCGCUACAUUUACCUUUGCCUUAAAAUAACAUAAACUGAUUUCCUCUUUACUUGUAAUAUUAGAGUCCUGACUAAUACAAAUCCCUAUGCAGUUAGUGGGUGGGCUUUGGCAAGUCUGCAAACUGCAUGAAAUUGUAAGCAAGAUUUUGGGUUCGAUUCUAAGUGCACUUUGCACCCCCGCCUCCCGGGAAUAGUUUUGUAGUUUGCCUCAGAUUCAAAAAAGACCUAUAAGCCCCA